AACGAACGCUGGCGGCGUGUUUAAGACAUGCAAGUCGCACGGGAUAAGACAUGUAGUAAUACUUGUUUUAUUUAGUGGCGCACGGGUGAGUAACACGUGAAUUACAUGCCCUAUAGUGGGGAAUAGCCCAGGGAAACUUGGAUUAAUACCCCAUGGUAUCGAAAGAUUAAAGGUGGCCGCAAGGCUGUCGCUAUAGGAUUGGUUCGCGCCCUAUCAGCUUGUUGGUGAGGUAACGGCUCACCAAGGCAAUGACGGGUACCUGGUCUGAGAGGACGAUCAGGCACACUGGAACUGAGACACGGUACGGACACCUACGGGUGGCAGCAGUCGAGAAUAAUUCACAAUGGGGGCAACCCUGAUGGUGCAACGCCGCGUGGAGGAUGACGGUCUUCGGAUUGUAAACUCCUGUCAUCUGGGAGAAAGACCUGACGGUAAAUAGCCGGCAGGGUUGAUAGUACCAGAAGAGGAAGGGACGGCUAACUUCGUGCCAGCCGCCGCAGUAA
rnacentral:rRNA from 1 species